AAUCCCUGGAGAAGGGGAACAAGAGGGACAAAGGACAGGAGAUUUGUGUUUGUCCUUUGUCCCUCUUGUUCCCCUUCUCCAGGGAUUAU
rnacentral:pre_miRNA from 1 species